AGGACGCUCGCGAAGAAGGGUCGUCGUCCGAGGUUGCAGAUUUCGGCGCACACGGCUCUGCGUCGUCCGGGGUCUGUGCAGCGAAUGGGAGGGGUUUUGGUGAGGGAAGCAAACCGUGAGAGCCAAAAGAAUUGGGUUAAUGGGAAAAAAUUGAAAAUAGGAGUAAAGUAAGCUGCAGUGUGCUGGGGAUUAGGAAUGGAAGUAAAGCUUGAAGAGAUUCAAGUUGAUCCGCCGAAAUCAGGCGAAGUUCGAGUUAAGAUGCUUUGUGCUAGCAUCUGCCACACUAAUGUUUCAGGAAUUCAAGGAUCUCCAUAUGUUAAUGUGUUGUAGAGACAGUUGGAGAUGAAGUAAAAAAUCUUAAAGAAGGGGAUAUGGUGACUCCAACAUAUAAUAGGAGAGUGUGGACAGUUAUCAAUGGAUGGAGCGAGUAAUUUGCUUCUAGUUUUGAGCCUUGAUGAGUUUUGAAAAUGACCUUGUAAUGCAGGCUAUAAGCGGAGCGAAAAUGCUGGGGGCUACUAAGAUAAUAGGGAUUGACACAAAUGAGAUGAAGAGAGAAAAAGGGAAAGCUUUUGGAAUGACUGAUUUUAUAAAUCCUCAAGAUUCUGAUAAACCUCCAUCAGAAUUGGUGAUGGAUUUGGUGUGGAUUAUUCUUUUGAGUGCACUGGAGUUGCAUCUUUGAUUAGUGAAUCCUUAGCAGCCACAAAGAUGGGAACCGGUAAAGCAAUAACAAUUGGCGUGCCAAAUGAACCUAUUGUGCCUUUCAAUCAUACAGCAAUUCUGGCUGGCAGAACUCUGAAGGGUUCUGUUUUUGGAGGUCCAAAAGCCAUGUCAGACCCUUAAUACAUUGAUGAAAAAGUCUCACAAUUAUUUAAUGUAUUUGGACUAUUUAUUUACAUUUUCGCAGGAGUUCCCUCUUCAGGAGCUAUUCACCCAUGAGGUCCUAUUGACAGACAUAAGAAAAGCAUUUGAUCUAUUCAAAGAGCCAAAUUGUGUCUAAGUUGUCAUCAAGAUAUGAUUUUCUGGCAAUUGAUGGAUGUAAAAUUCAAAUUAUUCAGCUUCAGAUAGUUUUAUAGGAGCAUAUUCUGCUUUAAAAAUCACACAAGUUGCAGUCUGACAACUAUUCUGUGUGAAUAUAAAUAAAGAAUAGUUUGAUGCAUGUGUGUAUAAGUUGGCAGUCAUUUUACUUCACCGUUGUAAUGCAAAUAAAAAUAAUUUGUGAUAUGCAACAUAACUUUAUCCUAGUGCACAAUGUGCACUCAUAAAUAUUUUAAUAAGUAAGUUGUUCAGUUCCUACUUUGAAAAUUAUUCUUUCAGGCAGUAACUUUGCUAAUGUAAGCUCCUAAUUGCAGGAACAAGUGAACAAUGCUAUAUGAUUGACUGAAAAAAUUGUGUGACUGAAUUCAUUGUCAAUUUGUCGUCAUACAACAAAAGAUCUGAGAUUUAUAGCCCAUUCAAGCGAGAAGUGAUUCGCUGGAAGACAUGUUCACUGCAAGGAAUAGUGAGACCUCCCAUGGAAUGAUCAUAUCCAAACUCUUCUUCAGCUUGACUCAACAAGUCUUGGAAUGAAGGUUGGUUCAAGUAUGAUACGGGAAUCACAAAACGCUUUUGAUUCUCUCCAACAUACACUGCAAGAUACCCCUUUGGGAGUUCCACAGAUUUUGAAGCUGCUUGGCUAGCUGAGAAUGAUGACGCCCUUCGAAUAACAGGAUUGUGGGGUAUACACACGAGAGAUCACAUGGUGCUGUCUUAGAAGUGGUUAAGAGUGAAUGCCCCCACCUUCUCAAAUGAGAUAAGAUCAAACUGAAGCCUUGUAUUUGUUUGUAUUAAUUGGUAUUCCAUGCUUUUGUAAACAUGCUUUAGACAUGUCAAAUUUUGUUCUUGAUGGCUAUAUAUCAUAUAUCCAUAUCGCUUUAUGGACAUGUUUUAAGACAUCUCAUAUGAAUCCUUUCACGUACUGAUGUACCCUGUGAUCUGUUUUCUAUUGCAAUAAAUGUAUUCAUAUCCACUCUGCAUCAUUAUUAGACAAUUUCUACUGAUUUAGUAGGUUACCCAUUAGUAUGAAGAGCCAACUUAUGUGAUAUGUCUUAAGCAUGUCUGCGACAUAAGUAGUAGUCCAUUAAAUC